GAGGCCAUAGCUCAGUGGCAGAGCGCCCAGCGAUGCUGGGAGGUAGGGGGUUCGAUUCCCUUUGGCUUCU
rnacentral:tRNA from 1 species